rnacentral:lncRNA from 1 species
CCAGGGGCAGGCAGCGCCAGAGUCAGGAAGAAUUUUAAACUAUCACCUACAGACUCUCUCUCCACUGCAGACCUCGGAUCUCCAUCUCCAACCCAGGCCUCUUGUUUGCUGUCUGGGUACAAUGCCUGCUGGGCUGCUCUGCUUGGAUGUGCCAUGAGCAUCCGGAGUCCAGUGAAACAGAAUUCAUCAUUGUUAGGGAAAAGGAAUGAAAGACAAAGGCUCAUGUUUGCAUGGUGGCUAACCCCAGCAUAGUCCUAAAGUGCUGUUUACCUGCACACAGGCCACCAUAAUACCAAGCCCAUAGAGCUUGAAGCAUGCGCGGAAGGCAACAGAACCUGCGGGGGACUGCAAUAUUAAUUAUGUAAGAAGCGCAGACUGUAAAGAGUGAACCCC